ACAAUGACUAGUCCUUCUCUUUGGUGCUGGCAGCAUCAACAUUAGCCCACAAUGGCCAGUAUCCUUCUCUCCAUGAAAUGAGCAGCAGAGGCAUGCUGGGACACAGCCUUCUCUCUCUAUCCUAGUUUCAAGCUCCAGAGAAUUGGAUCUCUCCCCCGGUGGCAGUAAUUAAGCAGAUCAAAUGGAAGGAGCGUUCUUACUGGGUAAGUUCUUUAAUAAUCACAGGGAGAGAGAAAGGAAAGCAUAGCACGCUAAAAUAUGGCGUAGCUCCCAGUAAAGGUUCACCCCCUUCAUCCCCAUUAAUCUACGUCACUCCUACGUCGGGUAAUCUGGGCUUGUUGCCAUUGCGGUUUCUGUUCCAUCACUUUCCAAGCCCAUCUAGUCUAAGGCAAAGGGGGGGGGGGGCUUCAGGGAUGCUAUCCAAAGACACUGAAUCAGCCAGCUGUCCCUCUCCUGGUGUCUGCUCUUCUAGUUGCUCCUCACCCAGUAUUUCUCAGCUUUUCUCUUCUAGACUUUGCCCUUCUGCAAACCACUGUUCUAAAUCAAUACUGUCCUCCUGCCCUUGGGAAGCUUCAGAAAAGAGGGGAGCUCUCCCACCAUUCCUAAUUAGUCAAGUCCCUGACAUCGAGGCAGGCAGAAGGAGGAUCAUGUGUACAUCAGCACUUCCUCAUAGAGGUAAGUAUAUGUGUGCACAAAAGAAAUCUCUCUUGCUCCCUUUCUCUCUCUCAUUGAGGUGGGCAGCAACACUGUGUGGGCACGUUGAUCCCUGUUGUUUGGUGACCCAUCCAGAGAACUCAUUUAAUUGGGAAGAGCAGCGGUGUAAUAGACAGACAGAUAGUUGUGGCCAAAGAAGCAGCAGCUGAAGAUACAGGGGAGAGUUGGCUUCUAAGCAACCCCGAUGCUAUAAGUUCCCCAGGAAACUCUAGCACCAAAAUAAGUUGAUAGAAGGGAGGCUGGCACAUGGACGUUGGCAACACCUCAGCUAUAUCAGGGCAACGAUUCGCAGAGUCGGCCAGAUCUGAGCACAGUUAGAGAGUCAAAGCGGUAGACUGAAAGUGAGCAGGUGUAGACAGUGGCAUGACACCCCAAGUCAAAGGGAGUCCUCAUUUGUAGUGCCUGCCUCCUGGGUGGAAGAUGUGAGGCAGGGAACAGCAGCAAGCUAUAGGUGGAUCAGUAGCUUGUUUGCCCAACAAGCUACCUCUUCUUGAGAGACUUGAGAGGAAAUGGUAGGGGUGGGAGACAAAUCUUGGGCGCUGGGAGAGUCUGGCCUCUGAACACUGGGUGGGAUGGGGAUACACCUCUUGGAAUGGGAUCUCCUGGAACACCUCCUACCUCAUUUUGCAUUUAAAUGAAUAGGUGAGGAAGGACACAGAUAAUUUAAGCAUCUGAUCUGCUGCUGUUGUUGUUGUUUAGUCGUUUAGUCAUGUCUGACUCUUCAUGACCCCAUGGACCAGAGCAUGCCAGGUACUCCUGUCUUUCACUGCCUCCCGCAGUUUGGUCAAACUCAUGCUGGUAGCUUCGAGAACACUGUCCAACCAUCUCGUCCUCUGUCGUCCCCCUUCUCCUUGUGCCUUCCAUCUUUUCCAGGGAGUCUUCUCUUCUCAUGAGGUGGCCAAAGUAUUGGAGUCAGGAUCUGUCCUUCCAGUGAGCACUCAGGGCUGAUUUCCUUCGGAAUGGAUAGGUUUGAUCUUCUUGCAGUCCAUGGGACUCUCAAGAGUCUCCUCCAGACCAUAAUUCAAAAGCAUCAAUUCUUUGGUGAUCAGCCUUCUUUAUGGUCCAGCUCUCACUUCCAUACAUCACUACUGGGAAAUUAGGAGCCAGUAAAAGGGAGGUGUUGCUCAGGUGGAAGAUUAGAUCAGAGUUUUCCAAACUGUGUGUCACGACACGUUGGUGUGUCGGCUGCAGUGUGUAGGUGUGUCGCACAAACGCUCCCUGCGCUCUUCCUGGGGCUGGAAAGGGUUAGUUUAACCCCUGGUUCCCUAGUAAAAUUGAAUUGCUGUGUCACAAAAUGAUGCAGAACUGAAUUACUGUGUUGCGAAAUGAUGCAUGUCCAAAAAAGUGUGUCACUAACUUGAAAAGUUUGGAAAGCUCUGGAUUAGAUUGUCAUUACAUGCCAUAUAGCUUUAAUCAGAUCCUUUGAGUCAAUACACUUCUGAUCUUAAUUCCAUUUACAUGCUUAUUCCAGGGUGUAGGGGGGAAAUCUCUUUCCAUAGUGGAUGGUAAUAUGGACGUAGAAACAGAGUGUGAAAAAAUGGAUGCCUCUGAUUUUUAACCUUUCUUCCCUGCAUGUAUUUCACAGAGGUAAGAAGUAAUUUAAUCUAAAAUUAUUGUGACUACAAAUUGGGUGCUGCAGAGAAAUUUUCUCACUUGAAUUACCCAUCUACGGCACAGAGGGGAACCUCUAGCUUUCCUGAUGUUGUUGUAGUCCACUUCCAGAAACCCCAACCAUCAACAAAUGGAGAGCCACAUGUUCCUCACCCUUGCUCUAGGACUUGCUCAUCUGGCUAAGUAGCAAUGGGCACAACCCACAUGAGAGAAGUGUUUUGAAGUCUCACAGAUCAGUUUGAUAGGAGAGUUAAGCACAUGUUGGAAAAUUUCUCAUUGCAUUCAACAGGACUGAAAACUGCAUAACCUUGGCUGGAUCAUGCCAAAUGCAUGUCAUAUUUUUAAAUGAUUAGCUAUAUUAAAAUCUUUAUGCCAAUGAAAAUUCAUCUGCCAAUGUCAAAUGUGGCACAAUGGGGAAAUUAGCAGAUUUCUCUUGAGGAAGCUAAAAUAUUGACCAUGGCUAACCAAUUCAUAUUGAAAAGGAUAUCCCAUUAUAGUUAAAGAGUGCAGGCUAGAGAUCAGUUAGGAACCAGUAACUUAAUAUUACAUUAACUCUUUAUGGGCAAAAAACCCAUAGUUAACAGACCUUCCUCUGUGAUACACACUUUGCCUGAUUAUAUUAAUAAUGGGGGGGGGGUGUCAAUAAAUCAAUUUCUUGCCAUUUAGAGUUAAGACAGGCUCCACUUUCGGUGUGAUGGCUAUCACCCACAAUAGAAAAUUAAGAGAAAGAAAAAAGAUAUGGUAUUGCGUCAGGCAGAUCCUACUUUUUCAACUCAGUUUCCACACCGGGUUUAUUUGAGCCCUGUUCACCUGCUUCUUGUUUGCAGGGUAAUUGCAUGUGGACUUGGGCGCAGGCCUUUGCUUUUUAGAGCCAUUUCUGAUAUCACAUCUGUUUCAUGGGAGAACUGUGCUUUAUGCAUGAUGGUCCAUAAUAAAGCGCUCCUGCUUGCAUGCUGGGGCUCCAUGCAAACAGGACACUGAUAAGUUCAGGGAUGCUGAUCGUGCAGAGCUCUCAAAAAGGGAGCAGGAGCUCAUCCUCUGAGUUUUGAGCAGGUGGCACUGUGCUCUCAACCACUGAGCCUCUUGGGCUUGCCAAUCGGAAGGCUGGCAGUUCAAAUCUGUGCAACAGGGUAAGUUCCCAUUGGUAUGUCCCAGCUACUGCCAGCCUAGCAGUUCAAAAGCACACCAGUGCAAGUAGAUAAAUAAGUACAGCUGAGGCGGGAAGGUAAACAGCAUUUCCGUGCACUCUGGUUUCCUUCACAGUGUUCCAUUGCACCAGAAGUGGUUUAUUCAUGCUGGCCACAUGACCUGGAAAGCUGUAAGUGGACAAAUGCCGGCCCCCUUGGCCUGAAAGCGAGAUGAGCGCUGCAACCCCAUAGUCACCUUUGACUGGACUUAACUGUACAUGGGUCCUCUACCUUUUACCUUUAUCUUACAUAGUGUGUGAUAGUUCAAGAAAGCAGAUGCAAAGUUGCAGUGGGUGGGGCUAAAAUUCUGGCCCUCAUUUCAAGUCAACAUUAGCUCUGCUGUACACACAAUGAAUGCCUGAAUACAGCUAAGCCCACUGCCUUUGGGUGCUGAGCAAAUUGGAAUAUUUAAUGAUAAAUGCUCAGUUUUAGAGAUGGUGGGAGUAUUCACAGCUAGGCAUGUAGAUAAAUAAAAAAAGAGUGCAUUUGGCAGCGAUGGGUUAUGUUUUCAUCGUAACAAAUGAUUACUAGACACAGCACAGCAUCAGUAAGCACAGUGUGGUGGAUAUUGAUUUUAACAAAAAGGGAAGGUUGCACCUUUUCUGCAACUGACGUUUGUAAGCAAAGCUAUGAUAUCAUUCAGGAGAACUGUGAUUUGGUACAACAGAUCUAGAAUACUGUCUAGUGAAGACAUAAAGCUUAGAAAUGGGUAUAUGUCCUGUGUGAUGGACUGUCAUUUCUUCUCUCACCAUGCUCCCGUAUUUAAGUGGUUCCAACUUCAAACAAAAUAAACCAAAGCAACUGAUUGUCCAAGGGACCAUGUCAAAAUUACUAUUGUGUAGUUAAAGCAAAUUCCUAAAUGCUUGCAAGAAGUCUAUCUAUCUAUCUAUCUAUCUAUCUAUCUAUCUAUCUAUCUAUCUUUCUAUCUAUAUCUAUCUAUCUAUCUAUCUAUCUAUCUAUCAUCUAUCUAUCUCAUUAUAAAACAGUUGAUAAAACAGUUAUCGUUGAGGAGUUUCUACAGCACUCCACAGAGGAAAUCCAGAAAUAAUGUACGUUGCACUUUUCUCUCUUUCUAGUACCUGUUGGUGAUGAUGAUAGCUGAACACAAGGGGAUGGGCUGUGUCAUAGUGACACUCUAUUAAUGGUGGCCACUGAGAACAAUUACGCGGGAAGUGAUAACAGCAAUGUUUCUACACAGA